rnacentral:rRNA from 1 species
CCUGCCGAUAACUCCGGAAUAGCCUUUCGAAAGAAAGAUUAAUACCGGAUAGUAUACGAAUAUCGCAUGAUAUUUUUAUUAAAGAAUUUCGGUUAUCGAUGGGGAUGCGUUCCAUUAGUUUGUUGGCGGGGUAACGGCCCACCAAGACUACGAUGGAUAGGGGUUCUGAGAGGAAGGUCCCCCACAUUGGAACUGAGACACGGUCCAAACUCCUACGGGAGGCAGCAGUGAGGAAUAUUGGUCAAUGGGCGAGAGCCUGAACCAGCCAAGUAGCGUGAAGGAUGAAGGCUCUAUGGGUCGUAAACUUCUUUUAUAUGGGAAUAAAGUUUUCCACGUGUGGAAUUUUGUAUGUACCAUAUGAAUAAGGAUCGGCUAACUCCGUGCCAGCAGCCGCGGUAAUACGGAGGAUCCGAGCGUUAUCCGGAUUUAUUGGGUUUAAAGGGAGCGUAGGUGGAUUGUUAAGUCAGUUGUGAAAGUUUGCGGCUCAACCGUAAAAUUGCAGUUGAAACUGGGAGUCUUGAGUACAGUAGAGGUGGGCGGAAUUCGUGGUGUAGCGGUGAAAUGCUUAGAUAUCACGAAGAACUCCGAUUGCGAAGGCAGCUCACUAGACUGUCACUGACACUGAUGCUCGAAAGUGUGGGUAUCAAACAGGAUUAGAUACCCUGGUAGUCCACACAGUAAACGAUGAAUACUCGCUGUUUGCGAUAUACAGUAAGCGGCCAAGCGAAAGCAUUAAGUAUUCCACCUGGGGAGUAC